GACGAACGCUGGCGGCGCGCUUAACACAUGCAAGUCGAGCGAGAACCGGGACUUCGGUCCCGGGGACAGCGGCGAACGGGUGAGUAACACGUGGGUAAUCAACCCUCGGCACCGGGAUAGCCCGAGGAAACUCGGAUUAAUACCGGAUAGCCCCUCCGACUCUCGAGUCGGUCGGGAAAGGUAGCUUAGGCCUCUGGCCGGGGACGAGCCCGCGGCGGAUUAGCUUGUUGGUGGGGUAAUGGCCUACCAAGGCAACGANCCGUAGCUGGUCUGAGAGGACGAUCAGCCACACUGGGACUGAGACACGGCCCAGACUCUUACGGGAGGCGGCAGUGGGGAAUCUUGCGCAAUGGGCGAAAGCCUGACGCAGCGACGCCGCGUGAGGGAAGAAGGCCUCGGUU
rnacentral:rRNA from 1 species